UACGUAGGGUGCGAGCGUUAAUCGGAAUACUGGGCGUAAAGCGUGCGCAGGCGGUUUUCCAAGACAGAUGUGAAAUCCCCGGGCUCAACCUGGGAAUGGCAUUUGUGACUGGAAGGCUAGAGUGUGUCAGAGGGGGGUAGAAUUCCACGUGUAGCAGUGAAAUGCGUAGAGAUGUGGAGGAAUACCGAUGGCGAAGGCAGCCCCCUGGGAUAACACUGACGCUCAUGCACGAAAGCGUGGGGAGCAAACAGG
rnacentral:rRNA from 1 species